rnacentral:rRNA from 1 species
AUUGAACGCUGGCGGCAGGCCUAACACAUGCAAGCCGAGCGGACGAAGGGAGCUUGCUCCCGGAUUCAGCGGCGGACGGGUGUGUAAUGCCUAGGAAUCUGCCUGGUAGUGGGGGAUAACGUCCGGAAACGGGCGCUAAUACCGCAUACGCCCUGAGGGAGAAAGAGGGGGAUCCUCGGACCUCACGCUAUCAGAUGAGACUAGGUCGGAUUAGCUAGUUGGUGGGGUAAAGGCCUACAAAGGCGACGAUCCGUAACUGGUCUGGGAGGAUGAUCAGUCACACUGGAACUGAGACACGGUCCAGACUCCUACGGGAGGCAGCAGUGGGGAAUAUUGGACGAUGGGCGAAAGCCUGAUCCAGCCAUGCCGCGUGUGUGAAGAAGGUCUUCGGAUUGUAAAGCACUUUAAGGUGGGAGGAAGGGCAGUAAGUUAAUACCUUGCUGUUUGGACGUUACCAACAGAAUAAGCACCGGCUAACUUCGUG